AACGUAGGAGGCGAGCGUUAUCCGGAUUUAUUGGGCGUAAAGGGCAAGUAGGCGGUUGGCAAAGUUGGUUGUGACAUCUCCCAGCUCAACUGGGAGGGUGCGGCCAAAACUAGCGAACUAGAGGGCAGAAGAGGGAAGUGGAAUUCCUGGUGUAGCGGUGGAAUGCUCAGAUACCAGGAGGAACACCAGUGGCGAAGGCGACUUUCUGGUCUGCACCUGACGCUGAGAGGCGAAAGCUAGGGGAGCGAACGGGCUUAGAUACCCGGGUAGUCCCUGAG
rnacentral:rRNA from 1 species